rnacentral:rRNA from 1 species
GACGAACCGUGCGAACGUUAUUCGGAAUCAUUGGGCUUAAAGGGCGCGUAGGCGGCGGUGUAAGUUGGAAGUGAAAUCCCAUCGGCUCAACCGUGGAAUUGCUCCCAGUACUGCAUCGCUCGAGGGGGAUAGGGGUUUGCGGAACUACCGGUGGAGCGGUGAAAUGUGUUGAUAUCGGUGGGAACGCCAGUGGCGAAAGCGGCAAACUUGACACUUCCUGACGCUGAUGCGCGAAAGCUAGGGGAGCAAACGGG